rnacentral:rRNA from 1 species
GAUGAACGCUGGCGGCGUGCCUAAUACAUGCAAGUCGAGCGAACAGAUAAGGAGCUUGCUCCUUUGACGUUAGCGGCGGACGGGUGAGUAACACGUGGGUAACCUACCUAUAAGACUGGGAUAACUUCGGGAAACCGGAGCUAACACCGGAUAAUAUUUCGAACCGCAUGGUUCGAUAGUGAAAGAUGGUUUUGCUAUCACUUAUAGAUGGACCCGCGCCGUAUUAGCUAGUUGGUAAGGUAACGGCUUACCAAGGCGACGAUACGUAGCCGACCUGAGAGGGUGAUCGGCCACACUGGAACUGAGACACGGUCCAGACUCCUACGGGAGGCAGCAGGAGGGAAUCUUCCGCAAUGGGCGAAAGCCUGACGGAGCAACGCCGCGUGAGUGAUGAAGGUCUUCGGAUCGUAAAACUCUGUUAUUAGGGAAGAACAUACGUGUAAGUAACUGUGCACGUCUUGACGGUACCUAUCAGAAAGCCACGGCUAACUACGUG